CAAUUUACCAGUUCCUGCACAUUUCCUAUUUACCCUUGUCAAUUACAAGCUAACCAACAGGUAGAACAGAUAGCUUCCAUGCUACAACACUGCCUAAGCACCAAGUCCACCUCAGGUGUAGAUGGCGCUACAGCAUCACCGGUCUCUCAGCAGCUUCCUUACUCUCAUGAUGUCAUUUCCCCUAACCCCGAAAAGUUUUCCGGAGAGGUGGGUAAUAGUCGAGGUUUUUUGCUUCAGUGUACUCUUGUGUUUAACCGUUCUCCACAUUCUUUUCCACACGAUGACGUUAAGAUUUCGUACAUCAUCGGAUUAUUAACAGACAGGACUUUGCAGUGGGCAGAGGCCCGGUUCUCUAAUUGUAAUAGUUUUGGUUGCACUUUUGAUGAGUUUGUGCAAGAAUUGGUCCGAGCGUAGCAUUGAAUCAUCUCUUAGUUGUCAUUCCACUUGUCUCCAGUCAGCUGUUUCCCCGAGUCUAAUGGUGAGGAGGAUGAGACAAUAGACUUGUCUCACGUUCCCUCUGAAUACCAUGACCUACGACAAGUUUUUAGUAAAGCCAAGGCCCUCUCUUUACCUCCUCACAGACCCUAUGACUGCUCUAUUGAUCUACUUCCUGGUUCCCAUUUACCUACAAGCAGACUUUAUAAUAUCUCCCGACUUGAACAAAAGUCUAUGGAAGACUAUAUUAAUGAGUCUCUUUCAGCAGGUAUCAUUCGGCCCUUUUCUUCACCUCUUGGGGUGGGGUUUUCCUUUGUGGGGAAAAAGGAUGGCUCUUUACAUCCUUGCAUCGACUAUAGGGGUUUAAACCAGAUUACCGUUAGGAACAAGUACCCUCUUUCACUUAUCACUUUAGCCUUUGAACCAGUUCAUGGUGCAACAGUUUUCUCUAAGUUAGACUCAGGAAAUGCAUACCCGCUUGUUAGAAUCCGCCAGGGGGACGAGUGGAAGACGGCCUUCAAGACGCCACUUGGUCAUUUUGAGUACUUGGUCCUGCCUUUUGCUGUGUGCAAUGCCCCGGCUAUAUUCCAGGCCCUUGUAAAUGAUAUGCUCAGAGACUUCCUACACAUUUUUGUGUUUGUGUACUUGGAUGACAUUUUAAUCUAUUCUAAAGACACUGAGGAGCAUAGCCGGCAUGUCCGCCAAGUUCUUCAGCGCCUUCUAGAGAACCGCCUAUUUGUGAAGACCGAGAAGUGUGAGUUCCACCAAUCCUCAGUUACGUUUUUGGGCUACAUCUUAGAGGGUGGACAGGUACACUCGGACCCACAAAAAAUAAAGGCGGUAUUGGAAUGGCCUGUACCAGACUCCCGCAAGGCUUUGCAGCAAUUCCUAGGGUUUGCAAACUUUUAUUGGCGCUUCAUCAAGGAUUACAGUUUGACAGCAGCCCCACUUACCGCUUUAACCUCCUCUAAGAUUACAUUCUCCUGGACGCCAGAGGCUGACAGAGCUUUCCGGGCCUUAAAGAAGUUUUCUUAAGCUCCCAUCUUAGUUCACCCAGAUUCUUCUAAACCAUUUAUUUUGGAGGUUGAUGCUUCAGACAUUGGGGUCGUGGCAGUGCUGUCACAGAAUUCAGAAGAUGAAAGGCUACAUCCUUGUGCCUUUUUUAUCCUGCAGACUAAGUAACACCGAAAGAAAUUAUGAUGUGGGUGACAGAGAACUAUUGGCAAUUAAACUAGCCUUAGAUGACUGGUGUCACUGGCUUGAGGGUGCCAAGCAUCCCAUUCAGGUUUGGACAGAUCAUAAGAACCUGGCCUACCUUCAGUCAGCCAAGAGACUAAAUCCACGUCAGUCCCGUUGGUCCUUGUUCUUUACUCGUUAUGAUCUCUAUGAUCUGCAUCUAUUUCAGACCUGGCCCAAAGAACACGAAAGAAGGUGAUUCAGAGAAGGAAUCAGCUCUAAUCCUGCCUCCCAGUUGGACUGUAGGGGCACUCAGGUGGGAGGUGGAGGGCAUUAUAGCCAGGGCUCAACAACCCGAUCCCGGCACAGGACCACCAAACCGUACCUAUGUUCUUUCUAGUGUUCGCUCUAGACUCAUCCAUUGGCUUCAUACAGCAAGGUUUUCAGCACAUCCUGGAGUAAGCAGAAUUAGCGCUAGUUCUGAGAAGAUUCUGGUGGCCCUCCCUACAUAAAGAUGUGAGGGAGCUCGUUUAAGCCUGCACUACCUGUGCCAGGAACAAGACAAGAAACCAACCACCCUCGGGCCUUCUCCAAGCUCUCAGCAUUCCCAAUCGGCCAUGGUCCCACAUUGCCUUAGAUUUUGUGACUGGCCUUCCCCUCUCGCAAGGUAUGACGACUAUACUCACAAUUGUAGAUCGCUUUUCUAAAGCAUGCCAUCUCAUUCCUCUUAGAAAGCUCCCGUCGGCAAUUCAGACGGCCAGGCUCCUCACUAAGCAUGUUUUUCGUCUGCAUGGUAUUCCUCAGGGCAUUCUGUCUGACCGUGGACCAAAAUUCAUUUCUCAAGUUUGGAAACAGUUCUGUUUAACUUUAGGAGCCAAAGUCUCUCUGACGUCAGGGUAUCAUCAUCAAUCUAACGGUCAGACUGAAAGGAUGAACCAGCAGCUGUCUCACGUCCACUAAUCCCACUGAUUGGUGUUCAUAUUUACCAUGGGUUGAAUAUGCUUUAAACUCGCAUGUUUCUUCAGCUACAGGACGCUCCCCCUUCGAAUCAUCGAUUGGUUAUCAGCCGCCUCUGUUUACAGCAGAUGAAAAAGAAAACUGUUUCCACUAUCUAUCAACAUGUCCACCGCUGCAGGUCCAUCUGAAACUCCACCAUCCAUGCCCUCCAUCAAACCGCAGAACAAAAUAAGCGUUUCGCUGACCAAAGACGUCGACCAGCUCCAGAGUAUCGCCUUGGACAAAAGGUCUAGUUGUCAGCACGAGACGUGCCUCUCAAGUCCAUGUCCCGGAAGCUUUCGCCACAUUUUAUUGGACCUUAUGAAAUAGAGACUGUUAUCAGCCCCUCUGCGGAUCGCCUUCGUCUUCCUGCAAAUCUUCGCAUUUAUCCCACGUUUCAUGUUUCUCAGAUAAAACCUGUGUUCUCUAGUGCUUCUCCUAUUUUUGUCGAUUAAGAUCCAAGAUUCCUGUUUACUUCGUCUGGACAACAACCAGCUGGCAGCUUCUUGUUUUCACCGUCAUCUGAACCUUGGCAUAAGCGUAACUUGUUCACCCUCCAACGCAAGUGCCUCCAUUCUGAACUCCUCAUCAUCCCUCACAGAUCUCUCAAGCCUUACCAGAGAAACUUCUGUGCCGUACACUCAGACUCUGCAUCCCUCAACCCUCUAGGUGGUUAGAUUACUCCAACAUAUUGGCGAUUUACCAGUUCCUGCACAUUUCCCAUUUACCCUUGUUUAAGAAAAUAAAUCUUCUUCAUAAUCCUAUUUCUUCUUCUGAGUGUCUCAUCCGCUUGUGGGUCAGAACUAUCUCGAG